rnacentral:lncRNA from 1 species
CUUGGGCGGGUCCCAGGAUGGGGCAACCCUGGCCCCCGGCUGGAAGUCAAGGGAGCAGCCUGCUGGUGACAUGUGUUGGUUUGGUUCUCAUUAUUGGACGUUCUCUUUUCUUCACUUCUCUUAUCCCUGCAUUCCUCAAUCUUGAUUCUACUCCAAGCAAUUUUCUCUCCGGAAAGGAAGCCCUGCCAGGCCAGUUUCAAGAGCCCAGGACAUUGUUUGUAUGUUGUUUUUGGCCACACCCACAGCAUGCAGACGUUCCUGGGCCAGGGAUCGAACCCAUGCCACAGCAGUAACAAUGCCAGAUCCUUAACCCACUGAGCCACCAGGGAACUCCACGAGUUCACAAAGCCUUUGAGGUCUUGCUGCAGGACCUUCAUAUCCUCCCUCUAUUGAAAUGGGCCAAACCACUCCCGGUUUCAGCCACUCUCUGCAGACUGGUUUGCCGGCUUCUGCCUGUUAUUCUGGUAGACGCCCAGUGGCCUCUCUGCGUUCUCCCACUUGGACACCAGUAGCGCACAAGCUGUGUGGCUUUAGCGGUUGGUCCCAUCUGUUUGUACUUUGGGGUUGACCAAGACACCUUGGCACUGAAUUAUCUGGCAAAUGUCACGCAUAAGGUUUUGUCUUUUCUAGCCAGUUGCUCUGCCUGUUGUUACUUGGGGAUUUGAGAAAAUCCGAAACUAUAUUCAAAGACACACGUCUCCCAGGAGCUCUCCCACUGUUUUCUUUUCAUAGCCUGAGAAAACUCCAUUUCCAGAGUGGUUAACUGAUGUGGUUACAGUCACACGGCUGGUGAAGGCUGAUGCCAGCAUUUGAAUCUGGGUUCUGAUUUCGAGCCCUUAUCUUUUUCUACUACAUUUUGUUUGAAAACUGCUUGUAUGGCAUUCCUAUCGUAGCUCAGCCAUACUAAAUCAGACUAGUAUCCAUGAGGACGCGGGUUCAAUCCCUGGCCUCGCUCAGUGGGUUAAGGAUCCGGCAUAGUCCCGUGCGCCGUAGUGUAGGCCGGCAGCUGUAGCUCCAGUUUGACUCUUAGUGCAGGAACUUCCAUAUGCUGCAGGUGCGACUGUAAAACGAAGAAUAUCAGCGUGUGGGCAGGGCUGUGCUCCGACUGAAACCUAUUGGGAAUCCUUCCUCCCCUCUUCCCAGCUCGGGGGCUCGGCAGCAACCCUUCGUCCCUUGGCUGGUGGCCAUGUCACACCAUCCCUCCUCCUUCCCAAGCCGUCUUCUUACGAGGACAGCAGUCCUGCCGGGUCAGGGCCCCGCUGUACCCCAGGCGGCCUCACCUCAGCCAGUUACACCUGCAGUGAUUCCAUUUCCAAAUAAGGCCACAUCCCGAGGUGGGGGUGGGACUUCAACUUGUCCCUGGGGACACAGUGCAACCCACUAUAGCGUGUCCCCCCCACCCACCGGGAGGUUACCUGUCUUUUUACUUUUUGCUUCAGGGGAGGGAUGGGACAGAGCAGAAGAGAAACCUAAAGUCAGUGGGGAUGCAGGCAUGAGGUCUUGGCCAGAAACAGCGCAGCGGGUUUCCCUGCAGGUUUGAGACGGUGUCUUCCUGAGCAGCACGGCCAGGGAGGCAGCACAGGCCCAGGAAGGGAGGGGCCCCGUGGUAUCUGACGAUGGAGAAGGUCACCCUCGCCUGGUGCCCUGGACCGAACGUAGCCAGGAAGCCACAGAGAACGCCAGGUCUGAAGGCCAUGCCCACCAGCCGGAGAGCAUGCCUUGGCCCUUUGGUGCCUCUGUCCCCAGCGCGGUGUAUGGAGCCUAGUAUGUUCACGGGAAAAGUCAGGCAUCUGAAGGAGCCUGGAUCCCAGGGUACAGGCCCUGUGUCCAUCACGUGAGCUGGGCAUAGAGACCUCAGCAUCCUUUAAACCAUGGAGAUCAGAAGCAUCAAAAUCACUUCCCAUGAAAGUGAAAUAAGGUUCCUAACCUGCCUGGCACUGGGAAGGCUUCGCAAACGACACUGCCUUUCUCCUCGCUCCCUCUCUGAGCCUCAGCUUCUUUUUUUUCCUCCUUUUUCUUUUUAUAGCCACAUAUGGAGGUUCCCAGGCUAGGGGUCGAAUCGGAGCUGCAGCUGAGGGCUACACCACAGCCACAGCAACAUCAGAUCUGAGGCGCAUCAGUGGGUGAACUACACAGCGGCUUGCAGCAAGGCCAGAUCUAUAACCCACUGAGCGAGGCCAGGGGUCAAACCCACAUCCUCACAGAGACAACAUCGGGUCCUUAACCCACUGAGCCACAAUGGGAAUUGCUACGUCUCAGUUUCUCAAUCUGUAAAAUGAAGAUAACAUUUUACCAUGAAGUAUUCUUUUAAGAGUCAAAAGAAAAUAGCACAUGUAAAAAAAAAAAAAAAAAAAAAAAAAACCUGUAAAUUGUAAAGAACGAUGAAAAUAACAGUUGUUACUGUUCAAGGAAUUGCUGAGUUAAUUUUGACCGUCGGUACACAACUGGCUGCGCCUACUAAAGGCCCCAUUAAGUAGGACAGGUGCACGCCAUCCCGUAGCUCAGGGCCACCUGGUGGGGCGCGGAGCAUCCUCUCUCAGUAGAGGUCAUGGUCCGCCCGCAUCCCCAUCAGAGGGUAAUUCCUUCCUCAUCCUAUUUCUCUCCUAAACCUUCAUCCACGGAGCCCCCUUUUAUGACAAGAGGAAUUCAUUCAAUGGCCUCUCAUGUGUUAGACUGGCCAGGCCAGGGCUUUGUUCACCAGCCCUGAUGCGUGGAGCUGAGCCACCCGCUUGCACAGGGGCCACACAAGUGGAGUCUCGUGCUGCACAUGUGCAUUCAGCAGCCAGGCGUGGUCUCGCCCACACACACCUCCAGCCUUCCUGGACCGAGGUGAAUCUAGAUGACGUGGGCCCGUCUCCCAGGGGACUCCUCAGGCAGCUCCUCAGCUGCCUCCUGUCUGUGGUCCUACCUGAUGUGACACCACGGUGUCCCCAUCCUUCUCCACGACAGGUGCCUGGUCCAGGGGCAGCCACAGCCCAGCGCCCCGCUCCCUUCGCCUCUCCUUCAUCUCCAGUUCGAAGCGCUGGCAGUUCAGAGAGACUGUGGUGUGGACGCUUGUGUGUCCAGAACCUGUGCUGGCCGCCUGGAGGUGCACCCACUCCUCAAGCAGCCAGUAGACUUGUACAGAUCCCCUUCUGUGUGCAAGACUCAUGCUAGAAGCUGCAGGGGAUCUAAAGAAGCACUGCCUGCUUUGCAUCGAACCCGAGACACCAGACCGACUGCGUGGGGGACCAUUGCUUUCUUUCCUGUCAAGAAAGAAGUGCCCUGACAGUUAAGCUGUGACUCGUAUCGAUGGUAAGAUGUAUCCUGAUUUCAGAGUUGAUGAAUUACUGUGCGAGGCACUGUGUCUCUUAAAGGGCUAUAAUCUUCCCAGGGAAAGAAUACGCUCGCACACACUCAUAGCAGGGGGUCAUGCCUGGUUGACUCUCAGAGGAGUUGCAAGGAUUUAGGUGCUCGAAUUUCUGAGGCUAGAAGUGGCUGUCAUUGGUUGGAUCUUGAAGUCCAAGUUGGACCAAUACCACCUGGAUGGUGUCGAGAAGGGCCACUGAGAAGAGAGGAAAGAGGCAGACACAGGUGGAGCAGGUGUGUAAAGGUCGGAAGCUGUCCAGGCUGCAGAAAGAGGAUGAAGUAGGAAAGGCAACCCCGCUUCAGGUUGGGGUCAUCCCUGAGGAGUUCGGUGUUUAUUUUUUAAGCACUGGGGAGCCACUGAAAGUUUUAGAGCAAGGGAGGAACACACCAGGCCGUCCUGGGGGAUAUUAUUUUGAGGGUGACAGGCAGGAUCUAGGGAAGCAAUAGGCUGCAGGCAGAGGACCUGUUUCAGAGAUACCAUAAGACGUCCAGGUGUGAAGCAAAGAGAAGAGACCGGCCAUGUGGAAUGAAGAGGAAGGGGCAGAAGGAAACUCUGGAACUCAGGAAAAUAAUUGAGCAAGACUUGUUCAGGAGCAGGGGUGCCACGAGACUGUAUUCUAGGAGUUCCUCCUGGGGCACAACAGGAUUGGCAGUGUCUCUGGAGCCCUGGGACGCAGGUUCAAUUCCCAGCCCCGCACGGUGGGUUAAGGAUCCUGCAUUGCCAUAGCUGUGGCUUAGGUUGCAACCGCGGCUUGGAUCUGAUCCCUGGCCCAGGAACUCCAUGUGCCAUGGGGCAGCCAGAAAAGAAAAGACUAUAUCCUAAAAUGUGAGCGUGGACAGCCGAAGAUGCAUUGCCAGAGUAAGGACCUCCUGGGCCCCCUUUUCCGCCCCUGGCCCUCGGGAUCAGUACAAAAGAAAGCCCGGCACAGACUCGGGUCGAGGCACCAAGGUCACUCCAGGCUGAAACCGCUUCAUGGUUGCCAUAGUUUUGUCUUCCAUAAAGUGGUUCUUGUGAUACUGACGCCUUUGGUGACACCGAACCCGAGACUAAAAAUAUGCCCUGUUGUUCUAAGUCCCCGAGGCGUUUCACAAACAGCCUCCUUUGUUUUUUCGGCCCCCUCCCUGCCCCUGUAUGUAAAGCAAGGACAAGCUUUACUGCAGGUGCAUUGGAAAACCAAAUGACCUUUAUAGAAAUCAUGAAAUCGGAAGCAAACCUGGGAAUAAAUCCAAGGUUUCCUGAUUCAACAUUGUAUCUAAGUGUGUAUGUUUGCUGCAGACCUUGCUGCCCUCAAUAAAAUAGAACCGGGUGCUGUGUACACAUGGAGAACGCUGUGAAUUCCAGGUACUAAGCCAGGAGAGAGGGUUUAUUCAUGGGGGAGGAUUGACCCUGCCUGAGAGAGUCUACGCCGCCCCUGAUGCUGGGGGCCAGGUGUGGGCUGUACAUGCCAUGGCAGAGCUGGCACCUGGCGUGGCCAUCAUGCCCUGGGUUUCAUCCUGUUGGUUUUGGAGGCUCUAAGAGGAAACACUUCUUCUUGAGGACAAAGUCCAGGGAAUAUACGGAACAAGCAGAGUUUCUUUCCUUCUUGUUCUUUAAACGGAACCGUAUAUUCAAAGAUCAGUCUGGCUCCAAAGUAUCUGUUUGUAGUGGGCAUUAUCCAUCUGAGAACAAAUCAAUGAGAUGCCGCAGAAACAAAGUGGAGUCUCUGUCCUCAAGAAGCAUCGUCCCAGCAGAGCGAGGAGGCCUGAGGUUAGUAAAGAAGAAGGGCAUUUCCUAUGGGCCCAGGGGCAAUGAAGCCCACGUGGCAACAUGGCACCAAGGGCCCGCUGCAGCUGCCGUGGUCGGACAGCGCCUCUCUGAAGACACCUGAGCAGUGAGGAGAAGGGAGCCAGAAAGGCCCUGGGGGAGCAGAACAAGGCCCCGAGGGUGGAACCAGCUGGAGACAGAGAAGGGACCAGUAUGGUAGCGGUAGGGCUGGAGGUGGCAGCACGGGGAUUGCCGGCCUUCAUAGAGGGUUUGCCUUCUAUUGCAGAGGGAAUCCAGAGCUGCCACGUCUGAUCUUCUCAGUAGAAUGUUCAUCCCCGCAGCUGUAUGUGGGAUGCCCUGUACAUGCAGGGUAAGAGCAGAAGCUGGGGCAUAGAAAGUGGUCCAGGUGAGGGGUGGUGGUCAGGCCAGGGUGGUGAUGCACAGGAAGGAUGAUGGCUCACUUGAGGGCUGAUGGUUCAUCUGAGGGCUCAUGGUGGCCUGGGCUAAGGUUUCCACAUUGAAAGUGGUAGAGCUAAGAUACAAGAAAACAUUUGAGUUUGGGCAGAGAAAUUCCACAGGUUUCAUUUACUGAGUAGGGUGGGAGACUUGGGGAGCAGAUUGGGGGCAUUUAGUUGCUCUCUUUUAGCCACAUUAAGUUUUAGGUGCCUUUUGACAUCUAAGAGGUGACUCCAAGCCGACGGUCGGGUGCUCCUGUGUGGGACUCCCAUGCCAGGCUUGGGCUGGAGUUAGAUGCUUCCAAACCAUCAGUGCAGAGGUGGAGUCAUGGGACCGGCUCUGAUUACUGUAUGGGCUUCCUGUGGCUGCUGUCACAAAGUGCCACAAGCUAGGUGGCUCAAAACAACAGAAGUGGGUGGAUUCACUCACAGUUCUAGAAGCCAGAAAUCCGCAAUCAAGGUGUCAGCCAGGCUGGGCUCCCUCAGAAAGCUGCAGGGGUGGGUCCGUCCUGGCCUCUUUCAGCUUCUGGUCACUCCUUGGCAUCCUGGGCAUCCCGCGGCUCGCAGCUGCCUCGCUGCCAGCUUUUCCCAUCACAGGACCUCCUCCCUCCUCUGCGUCCAAAUCUCUCUGACCUUGUAGGGACGCCGGUCAUACUGGACGAGGCUCCGCCCUCCUCCGCUGUGACCACAUCUGAACUUGAGGACAUCUUCACGUCCAAAGAGGCCACAGUCACGGGUUCCAAGAGGACGUGAAUUUUUGUGGGGAUUCUAUUUAGCCCAGGACAAUUACCCUGGGAAAGAGUGUAGACAGAGAAGAAAUCUGAUGGGUGCAGAACUCUGGGUCCCGUGGCCGAGAGGAUGGAGAGGGGGAGCUGCCUGGUGAGGAUGGCGUGGAGGCCACGGCCACGGCCGCUCGUGAGUCCCGGGAGAAGUGAUCAGCUGCUGAGAGGCGACUGACCGUUUAGCUUUGGAAACGUGGAAACCAAGGGCAACUCCAAAAAGGCUCUUUUCAGCCAAAGUACGAUUAGGUUGGGCUGAAGGCAGAGGGACAGUGAGAAAAUAAAAACAGCAGGUAGAAACAGCUUUUUUCUUCGAGACCUGCAAGUGGGGUGUGGAGAUGGGGUCGGGGAGGCUAAAAGGACGGGAGGUGGUGGGACGUCUGGGUGAUGACGGUGUGCAGCCGAGUUGUGGGGGAGCUGGUGAUGCAGGAGGGGCAUCUCUGAGCUGGUGAGGGACGAGCAUCCUGUACCCCUGGGGAGGGUGGCUUCAGAGAGGAGUGAGACAGGGCAGUCGCUGAGACAGAAGGGGCGUUUGCCAUGUUUCUGGUGCAGGGACAUCGUGGGACUGCUGAUGGGAAGAAGACAAGUUCUCCGAUUGCCUGUGUCUCACCUCCAGACCGUGGUGAGACGGGAAAUAGGGGGAAGGAUGGGGCGGGGUUUCGUGGACGACUUGGAGGGAAGUGGAUGCACUGGCGAUGCCCAGCAGGGGCCAGGCUGGUCCAGUAGACGUGGAGGGAGUGUGCUCCACAGUCUCUCGGGCGAGGUCCAGCAGCAGCUGUGGGCAAGGGGUGGCUGGGUCUGAUCCUAGUUGGGCUUCUGCAGAAGGAGAAAUGAGGGGUUCUAGAAGGAGCGGCUAUGGCGAAGCCUGGGCCCACAAGGUGGGCAGUAGGAGGAUGAGGGGGGAGCGGAGGGCUUUGGGGAGGGGUCUCACUGGAGGGGAGAGUUGUGGACACAGGAGCACAGGCGUGUGAGCGGUGAUGGAAGGCGGCGGUCGGUGUGUGUCUGAGAUUGGAGUUUCAGAAGCAGGAGUGUUUGGUUAGGACAGAGCAUUCUGCUGGAGAGUGAGAGAAGUGAGAGGCCAGGGCCUCAUGGGGUAUCCAGUAGAGUUGUAUGAGUGAAGAAAAGCAGGGCUUCCUUGAUUUGUCCUCCUACAUGGUAGGACGUAAAAGGCAAAGGAGGAGUUCCCUGGCGGUGCCGGGGGCUAAGGACCUGGAUCAUCAUAGCUGUUGCUUGGGUCACUGCCGUGGUGCAGGUUUGGUCCCUGGCCUGGAGAACUUCUGCCUGCCUUGGGUGAGUCCAAAAAACAAUUAAAAAAUAAAUAAAAGGCAGAGAGGAAGUUUCCGCUGUGGUGCAGUGGGUUAACAAUCCGGCUUGUCUCUGUGGAGGCACCAGGUCAACCCCCAGCCCUGGCCCAGUGUAAUGGGUUAAGGAUCAGCAUUGCUACAACUGCGGCCUAGGUUUCAGCUCCAGCUCUGAUUUGAUCCCUGGCCCAGGAACAUCUAUAUGCCUGGGGGCAG